CCCCCCAAAAAAUCGGACAGGAAAGCCUACUUUCAGCUCAGUGAGGCAUCUUCUCCCUGAUGGCCAAAAUCAACACAAAGACAACACAAGGAAGGGAUACCUCGGGCAAGUCUCCAUCACACUUAUUCAUGCAGAAAUCUUCAAAAUAUUAUCCAAUCUAACUCCCCGAUAUGGGAACAUGUUAUACACCAUUCCCAAGCAGAAGAGGCAGCUCUGCAAAGAAGAUAUGCAAGUGGCCAUGGUCGCAAAGGUCUUCAGCAUUAAUUCAUUAUCAGGGCAAUGCACAUCAAACCACCACAGCAUAAUCACCGUAAACCUAUGAGGAUGGCCGCUGUCGAAGUCUGGUGUUGUUUAUUGGUGUCCAGGGUGCACUGUUGGGUGAAAUGUAAAUUGGUACAACAAUAUGAAAAAGUGGAUGGGCAUUCCUCAAAACUUAAAUUAGAAAAUUUAAUAGCAGAGAAAAAAAAAGAAA
rnacentral:lncRNA from 1 species